UACGUAGGCAGCAGGCGUUGUUCGGAGUUACUGGGCGUAAAGGGUGUGUAGGCGGUCCUUUAAGUUUGGUGUGAAAUCUCCCGGCUUAACCGGGAGGGUGCGCCGAAAACUGAGGGGCUAGAGUGCGGGAGAGGAGAGUGGAAUUCCUGGUGUAGCGGUGAAAUGCGUAGAUAUCAGGAGGAACACCGGUGGUGUAGACGGCUCUCUGGACCGUAACUGACGCUGAAACGCGAAAGCGUGGGGAGCGAACAGG
rnacentral:rRNA from 1 species